AUCCAAGCUGAUUUCCUCUCCAGGGGGCCUGCUCGUGCCCCUCUUCAGGAAAGCAGCAACUUGGAAGAAAAUCUGAAGUUGGUGGGGGAGAGUGCAUGUUUGUUUCCUUCGACUUCCUUUGGCUGCCUACACUC